rnacentral:rRNA from 1 species
GCUAAUACAUGCAAGUCGAGCGAACGGACGAGAAGCUUGCUUCUCUGAUGUUAGCGGCGGACGGGUGAGUAACACGUGGAUAACCUACCUAUAAGACUGGGAUAACUUCGGGAAACCGGAGCUAAUACCGGAUAAUAUUUUGAACCGCAUGGUUCAAAAGUGAAAGACGGUCUUGCUGUCACUUAUAGAUGGAUCCGCGCUGCAUUAGCUAGUUGGUAAGGUAACGGCUUACCAAGGCAACGAUGCAUAGCCGACCUGAGAGGGUGAUCGGCCACACUGGAACUGAGACACGGUCCAGACUCCUACGGGAGGCAGCAGUAGGGAAUCUUCCGCAAUGGGCGAAAGCCUGACGGAGCAACGCCGCGUGAGUGAUGAAGGUCUUCGGAUCGUAAAACUCUGUUAUUAGGGAAGAACAUAUGUGUAAGUAACUGUGCACAUCUUGACGGUACCUAAUCAGAAAGCCACGGCUAACUACGUGCCAGCAGCCGCGGUAAUACGUAGGUGGCAAGCGUUAUCCGGAAUUAUUGGGCGUAAAGCGCGCGUAGGCGGUUUUUUAAGUCUGAUGUGAAAGCCCACGGCUCAACCGUGGAGGGUCAUUGGAAACUGGAAAACUUGAGUGCAGAAGAGGAAAGUGGAAUUCCAUGUGUAGCGGUGAAAUGCGCAGAGAUAUGGAGGAACACCAGUGGCGAAGGCGACUUUCUGGUCUGUAACUGACGCUGAUGUGCGAAAGCGUGGGGAUCAAACAGGAUUAGAUACCCUGGUAGUCCACGCCGUAAACGAUGAGUGCUAAGUGUUAGGGGGUUUCCGCCCCUUAGUGCUGCAGCUAACGCAUUAAGCACUCCGCCUGGGGAGUACGACCGCAAGGUUGAAACUCAAAGGAAUUGACGGGGACCCGCACAAGCGGUGGAGCAUGUGGUUUAAUUCGAAGCAACGCGAAGAACCUUACCAAAUCUUGACAUCCUUUGACAACUCUAGAGAUAGAGCCUUCCCCUUCGGGGGACAAAGUGACAGGUGGUGCAUGGUUGUCGUCAGCUCGUGUCGUGAGAUGUUGGGUUAAGUCCCGCAACGAGCGCAACCCUUAAGCUUAGUUGCCAUCAUUAAGUUGGGCACUCUAAGUUGACUGCCGGUGACAAACCGGAGGAAGGUGGGGAUGACGUCAAAUCAUCAUGCCCCUUAUGAUUUGGGCUACACACGUGCUACAAUGGACAAUACAAAGGGCAGCGAAACCGCGAGGUCAAGCAAAUCCCAUAAAGUUGUUCUCAGUUCGGAUUGUAGUCUGCAACUCGACUACAUGAAGCUGGAAUCGCUAGUAAUCGUAGAUCAGCAUGCUACGGUGAAUACGUUCCCGGGUCUUGUACACACCGCCCGUCACACCACGAGAGUUUGUAACACCCGAAGCCGGUGGAGUAACCUUUUAGGAGCUAGCCGUCGAAGGUUGACAAAAGG